rnacentral:rRNA from 1 species
AGAGUUUGAUCCUGGCUCAGGACGAACGCUGGCGGCGUGCUUAAUACAUGCAAGUCGAACGGAGUUAAGGGUUUCGGCCUUUAACUUAGUGGCGAACGGGUGAGUAACGCGUGAAUAACCUGACUCAAAGAGGGGGAUAACAACGGGAAACUGUUGCUAAUACCGCAUGAGACCACAACACCGCAUGAUGAAGGGGUCAAAGAUUUAUCGCUUUGAGAGGGGUUCGCGUCCCAUUAGGUAGUUGGAGGGGUAACGGCCCACCAAGCCAACGAUGGGUAGCCGAGCUGAGAGGCUGAUCGGCCACACUGGAACUGAGACACGGUCCAGACUCCUACGGGAGGCAGCAGUGGGGAAUAUUGGGCAAUGGGCGCAAGCCUGACCCAGCAACGCCGCGUGAGGGAAGAAGGUUUUCGGAUUGUAAACCUCUGUCCUAUGUGACGAAGGAAGUGACGGUAGCAUAGGAGGAAGCCCCGGCUAACUACGUGCCAGCAGCCGCGGUAAUACGUAGGGGGCGAGCGUUGUCCGGAAUUACUGGGCGUAAAGGGUGCGUAGGCGGUUUGGUAAGUUGGAUGUGAAAUACCCGGGCUUAACUUGGGGGCUGCAUCCAAUACUGUCGGACUUGAGUGCAGGAGAGGAAAGCGGAAUUCCUAGUGUAGCGGUGAAAUGCGUAGAUAUUAGGAGGAACACCAGUGGCGAAGGCGGCUUACUGGACUGUAACUGACACUGAGGCUCGAAAGCGUGGGGAGCAAACAGGAUUAGAUACCCUGGUAGUCCACGCUGUAAACGAUGAAUACUAGGUGUGGGGGGACUGACCCCUUCCGUGCCGCAGUUAACACAAUAAGUAUUCCACCUGGGGAGUACGACCGCAAGGUUGAAACUCAAAGGAAUUGACGGGGGCCCGCACAAGCAGUGGA